rnacentral:tRNA from 1 species
GCCCCAAUAGCUCAACGGAUAGAGCAUCGGUCUUCUAAACCGAGGAUUUAGGUUCGAUUCCUAGUUGGGGUA